GCAGAACGCGAAGAACCUUACCUGGGUUUGACAUGGCCGCAAAACUGUCAGAGAUGGCAGGUCCUGGGGCGGGUCGACAGGUGGUGCAUGGCUGUCGUCAGCUCGUGUCGUGAGAUGUUGGGUUAAGUCCGCAACGAGCGCAACCCUCGUUCGAUGUUGCCAGCGCGUUAUGGCGGGGACGUCAUCGAAGACUGCCGGGGUCAACUCGGAGGAAGGUGGGGAUGACGUCAAGUCAUCAUGCCCCUUAUGUCCAGGGCUUCACGCAUGCUACAAUGGCCGGUACAAUGGGCUGCGAUACCGUGAGGUGGAGCGAAUCCCAAAAAGCCGGUCUCAGUUCGGAUCGGGGUCUGCAACUCGACCCCGUGAAGUCGGAGUCGCUAGUAAUCGCAGAUCAGCAACGCUGCGGUGAAUACGUUCCCGGGUCUUGUACACACCG
rnacentral:rRNA from 1 species